UCGUAUGUAUGCGGCCAGAAAUACGCGCCGAGACGUAUUCGCUUCGGCAGUUGAUCGCGGCGCGAGCACAGUCGAACCUGCUCAGGUGCGACUUUCCUUCCGUUUUCCUCGUGCAUCGAGUGCGACGCGCAAACGUCGGAUCGGCAAACACGUGCGAUUACCGUUUACCUCGCCACAAUUCCCCAAAUUUACCGCUACAACUGGACCUACUUGGCGUUCUUUUGGCCACGUGUUACGUUCCAAGUGGCAGCAAAGGUGUAAUAUUUUAUGACCGGAGGAUAGAACUCGACUCGAUUCCGAUCCCCCUUUCCUUUCUUUCGCGUUUUGACGGUGGAGCAUUGACGGACGCCAGACAUGCCGUACUCGAUCUACAAAUGUAGAAGAACGUUUCUCCACGCGAUAUGUUCGUUCUCGAUUUGUGGACUGGUGAUGGCUCAACUGGAUACCAGAUACCCGGACCAAAGGAUAGUGUUCCCCGAUCGGGGCGAUCCGAGGGCGAGACAAACGGCGAAUCCUACGGUGGAGGAUGGGCCGAGUGCAGGAGGCGAAUCGUUGAAAUCGCUACAAUUAGGCAAGAAAAUCAGUUCCAUCAAUUCGAUCGACGAUUUCCUUAGAUUAGUCAAAGGUGUGCCACAGGAUAUAUCUUUCUUCUCUGUAAGCAGUAGAAUGGGAGAAACUGAACGUUCGAAUGCCGAGCGACCAAAUCAAGCUUUAUGUAUGCCUGAAUUACAAACAGUUCCUCUAUUAGAAAAUGACGAUCCAUCUAUUGUUUAUUAUCCAACUUGCACACGGAUCAAAAGAUGCGGAGGCUGUUGUAAUCACUCGUUUCUUUCUUGUCAGCCAACGGCUACGGAAACUCGAAAUUUCGAGGUAAGUGUGACGGCUCUUGAAUCCAGUAAUACAUUAAAAUAUCAAGGCAAACGUAUUGUACCGAUAGAGGAGCAUACGCAAUGCACGUGUGACUGCAAAAUAAAGGAGACGGACUGUAACAAGAAACAGUCUUAUGUACCGGAGGAAUGUACAUGUGUGUGCAACAACAUCGAUGAACAGAAAAAGUGUAAUGAAAGCAACAUGAAAAUAUGGCACCCAGAUCAUUGUAACUGUUCUUGCAGAGAACUACAGGAGUGUACAACUGGUUUUUAUUUCGACCAAAAUUCAUGCAGGUGUGAACGGAACAACAAGGAUUUGUAAUACGGGAAUAAUAUCUUUCCUUCCUUGCUGCAUUUCUAUUAUCUUGUAUAUCUUAUGCCUGCAAAUAUCUAGUAUUUGGUUUACAUCCACAAAGGAUUCUGAUUAUAGAUUCGGACAAACGCAAAGACCGGGUAAUGUAUCACCAAUAAUAAUUUCUCUAGAUUCAGAUGAUCCUAGAAGAAAACCUAAACCAGAUCCAGAAUAAUAAUUGGUAUAGAUUUUAAAACAAUUUAAUUUUUUAUCUUUGUGCCAUUUUGUUAUACACAUAAGUAUUGAUAUUAUUUAUGUAUUAAUAUUAAUAUUAGUUAUUGCAAAAAAUAAGUGAAUGUAUUUUUAUAUAU